GAGUUUGAUCCUGGCUCAGGACGAACGCUGGCGGCGUGCCUAACACAUGCAAGUCGAACGAAGCAAUAAAGACGGAGAUUCGUCAAAGCCUUUAUUGACUUAGUGGCGGACGGGUGAGUAACGCGUGAGCAACCUGCCUUUCAGAGGGGGACAACAGUUGGAAACGACUGCUAAUACCGCAUAAUAUACAGAGGGGGCAUCCCAUUUGUAUCAAAGGAGAAAUCCGCUGAAAGAUGGGCUCACGUCUGAUUAGCUAGUUGGUGGGGUAAAGGCCUACCAAGGCUGCGAUCAGUAGCCGGACUGAGAGGUUGAACGGCCACAUUGGGACUGAGAUACGGCCCAGACUCCUACGGGAGGCAGCAGUGGGGAAUAUUGGGCAAUGGGCGAAAGCCUGACCCAGCAACGCCGCGUGAAGGAAGAAGGUCCUCGGAUUGUAAACUUCUUUUAUGAGGGACGAAGGAAGUGACGGUACCUCAUGAAUAAGCCACGGCUAACUACGUGCCAGCAGCCGCGGUAAUACGUAGGUGGCAAGCGUUAUCCGGAUUUACUGGGUGUAAAGGGCGCGUAGGCGGGGAUGCAAGUCAGAUGUGAAAUCUAUGGGCUUAACCCAUAAACUGCAUUUGAAACUGUAUCUCUUGAGUGUCGGAGAGGUAGAUGGAAUUCCUUGUGUAGCGGUGAAAUGCGUAGA
rnacentral:rRNA from 1 species